GAUGAACGCUGGCGGCGUGCCUAAUACAUGCAAGUCGAGCGAACGGACGAGAAGCUUGCUUCUCUGAUGUUAGCGGCGGACAGGGGAGUAACACGUGGAUAACCUACCUAUAAGACUGGGAUAACUUCGGGAAACCGGAGCUAAUACCGGAUAAUAUUUUGAACCGCAUGGUUCAAAAGUGAAAGACGGUCUUGCUGUCACUUAUAGAUGGAUCCGCGCUGCAUUAGCUAGUUGGUAAGGUAACGGCUUACCAAGGCAACGAUGCAUAGCCGACCUGAGAGGAUGAUCGGCCACACUGGAACUGAGACACGGUCCAGACGCCUACGGGAGGCAGCAGUAGGGAAUCUUCCGCAAUGGGCGAAAGCCUGACGGAGCAACGCCGCGUGAGUGAUGAAGGUCUUCGGAUCGUAAAACUCUGUUAUUAGGGAAGAACAUAUGUGUAAGUAACUGUGCACAUCUUGACGGUACCUAAUCAGAAAGCCACGGCUAACUACGUG
rnacentral:rRNA from 1 species